rnacentral:rRNA from 1 species
GAUGAACGCUGGCGGCGUGCCUAAUACAUGCAAGUCGAGCGAAUGGAUUAAGAGCUUGCUCUUAUGAAGUUAGCGGCGGACGGGUGAGUAACACGUGGGUAACCUGCCCAUAAGACUGGGAUAACUCCGGGAAACCGGGGCUAAUACCGGAUAACAUUUUGAACCGCAUGGUUCGAAAUUGAAAGGCGGCUUCGGCUGUCACUUAUGGAUUGACCCGCGUCGCAUUAGCUAGGUGGUGAGGUAACGGCUCACCAAGGCAACGAUGCGUAGCCGACCUGAGAGGGUGAUCGGCCACACUGGGACUGGGACACGGCCCAGACUCCUACGGGAGGCAGCAGUAGGGAAUCUUCCGCAAUGGACGAAAGUCUGACGGAGCAACGCCGCGUGAGUGAUGAAGGCUUUCGGGUCGUAAAACUCUGUUGUUAGGGAAGAACAAGUGCUAGUUGAAUAAGCUGGCACCUUGACGGUACCUAACCAGAAAGCCACGGCUAACUACGUGCCAGCAGCCGCAGUAA